ensembl:lncRNA
GUUCAAUGCCCUUGGCUAAAUGCAGAGUGUAAAGAGGAACCAAUCCUGAGCGGCUGGGCUGAUAAGAGCCAUCUCACUCGCUCGCUCUUAGUCAGGGAUUCACAGUCUCUCCCUCGGCCAAGAGCUUUCCAUUUCCGGACUCAAAUGAACCACAUCAUUAAUGAAGGUUAGUGCCAAGGGCAUGCUUUGUGUUGAUUAUUUUAAAACCCUGUCUUUGACCGCAGGCUCGUCCCGACUGUAACGCACCACACUAUUAUCCCAGUACGGCUGAGUUUGUUGUGCAAUGUUUAAAAUUGCCUGAUGGAUGUGUGGAAAAGCGUGUUUGCUUUGUGGAGUUAACUGAGCGCAGCAGAAACUCUCUGACUCGGCUGACCCUACCGGAGGCUGUUUCUCAGCCAGCGCUGGUUGAGACUGAGAGCCCCUCUAGGACUCCAUCAUCCGAAAGCACUACCAUUCAUGAAUUUACACAGGUGCUGGCAGCGACUGUGUGCAGUGUCUGCACAUGCUGCUUAGCAGUAGGGGUGGGCGAUAUACAAGUUGAGUAAACCAAUAGAAAUAUAGCAACCGGCGCCUGUGAAGAACUCUCGCCUUGAAGCCAAGGAGGCUGCAAAGGCACAACAAGCGUCGAUAGAUCACUGUUUCCCAUUCUGCACGCUAGUUCUAAAACAGCACACUCCUCCGAAUGCACGGAGUGUUUCUCUGAGGUAUUUAUUUUGAUGCCGAAUGCAUACUGCCAUACCAGCCACCCAUAAAACAUCUUUAAGCAAGCUGUCGCGUCUUUAGAGGGAGAAUGCACUCUGUAUUUCCUGGAAAUGAAAAAAAAGCCUGUCUGUGCAACUGAACACUCAUGAUGUAAUUCUCUAGCAAGCAGAGUAAGAGAAAGCAUAGCAUAUAACUGGAACUCCCCGAUGCCAGUCUUGGAAUUAUUAUCUGCAUUUAUGCAUUUGGCAGAUGUUUUUAUUCCAAGGAAUUUACAAUGCAUUCAAGGUAUACAUUUAUCAGUGUGUCUGUGUUCCCUAG